UGUAGUCGGUGGAUAACAGGUGAAUAUUUCUGUACUACCUCUUAUUGGCCCCGAGAGACGGAGGAGGCUAGGUUAGCCGAAAAAUGGUUAUCGAUUUAAGGAUGCAAGGUGAUCCUACUUUUUCAAGAUAAGAAAGGAUAGAGGAAAUACCUUGAGCCAAUGCCCGAGUAUCAGGCGCUACGGCACUAAGGUAACCCAUGCCAUACUCCCAGAAAUAGCUCGAACAACCUUUAACAAAGGGUACCUAUACCCGAAAUCGACACAGGUGGAUAGGUAGAGAAUACUUAGGGGCGCGAGAUAACUCUUUUUAAGAAACUCGGCAAAAUAGCCCCAUAACUUCAGGAGAAGGGGUGCCUCCUCACAAAGGGAGUCGCUGCAGCUAUCAGGUUUGGGCGACUAUUUACCAAAAUACAUGUCUUUACAAAGUCAUAAAACCAUGUAUGGGGUUGACGCCUGUCCAGUACUGGAAGGGCAAGAACGUUGAUGACCUGAUGACAGAACAGCCAGCAACCGAAGCCCUAGUGAGCGGCGGCCGUAAUUAUAACGGUCCUAAAGUAGUGAAAUUUCUUAUCGAGUAAGUUUCAACCCGUAUGAAAGGUGUAACGAUUUGGGCACUAUCUCGAAGAGAGAUUUGGUGAAAUAAACAUGUCUAUGAAGAUGCGGACUAUCUGUACCUGGACAGAAAGAUCCUAUGAAGUUUUACUGUUCCUUGGGAUUAGCUUUCGACCUUUCCUGCAUAGCUUAGGUGGAAGGUAAAGAAGACCUCCUUCUGGGGGGCUCGAGCCAUCAGUGAGAUACCACUCUGAAAGAGUUAGAAUUCAAAUCUUGUGUCAGGACCUGUGGGUCAAGGAACAGUCUCAGGUAGACAGUUUCUAUGGGGCAUAGGCCUCCCAAAAGGUAACAGAGGCGUACAAAAUUUUCUUGGGUCAGACGGAGAUUGGCCCUCGAGUGCAAAGAUAGAAGGGAGCUUGAUUACAAUACCCAUCCAUCGAGUAGGGACAAAAGUCGGCCUUAGUGAUCCGACGGUGUUGAGUGGAAGGACUGUUGCUCAAUGGAUAAAAGUUACUCUAGGGAUAACGGCUGAUCUUCCUUAAGAGUUCACAUUGACAGAAAGAUUUGGCACCUCGAUGUCGGCUCUUCGCCAAUUGGGGCUAUAGUAUAUUCCAAGGGUUGGGCUAUUCGUCCAUUAAAGUAGUACGUAAGCUGGGUUCAGAACAUCGCGAGACAGUUCAGUUCAUAUCCGAUGCGGACAUUGGAGCAUUGAGAGGACCUUUUUCUAGUACGAGAGAAUCAAGAAGGACACACCUCUGGUGUACCAAUUAUCAUCUCUACGAUAAACAUUGGGUAGCCAAGUACGGAGUGAAUAACUGUUGAAAGCAUCUAAGUAGUAAGCCCACCCAAGAUAAGUGCUCUCCUAUUCCGACUUCCCUAGAGCCUCUAGUAGCAUAGCCGAGACAGUGAUGGAUCCUUUGCCCUGAGGGGAUGGAGCGACAGAGGUAUUGAGAAUCCAAGAUAAAUACACACACGCAUAUAUAU
rnacentral:rRNA from 1 species